rnacentral:rRNA from 1 species
GGGCCUUCGAUACUGGAUUUCUUGAGUUCGGAAGAGGUUGGUGGAAUUCGUGGUGUAGCGGUGAAAUGCAUAGAUAUCACGAAGAACACCGGUGGCGAAGGCGGCCAACUGGUCCGACACUGACGCUGAGACACGAAAGCGUGGGGAGCGAACAGGAUUAGAUACCCUGGUAGUCCACGCUGUAAACGAUGCAUGCUAGUUGUUGUCCCUUUGGGGGCAGUGACGCAGUUAACGCAGUAAGCAUGCCACCUGGGGAGUACGUUCGCAAGAAUGAAACUCAAAGGAAUUGACGGGGGCCCGCACAAGCGGUGGAGCAUGUGGCUUAAUUCGAUGCAACGCGAAGAACCUUAC